UACGGGGGGGGCAAGCGUUGUUCGGAAUUACUGGGCGUAAAGGGCUCGUAGGCGGCCAACUAAGUCGGACGUGAAAUCCCUCGGCUCAACCGGGGAACUGCGUCCGAUACUGGAUGGCUUGAGUUCGGGAGAGGGAUGCGGAAUUCCAGGUGUAGCGGUGAAAUGCGUAGAUAUCUGGAGGAACACCGGUGGCGAAGGCGGCAUCCUGGACCGAUACUGACGCUGAGGAGCGAAAGCCAGGGGAGCAAAGCGGG
rnacentral:rRNA from 1 species